rnacentral:rRNA from 1 species
AUUGAACGCUGGCGGCAGGCCUAACACAUGCAAGUCGAACGAGUGGCGGACGGGUGAGUAAUGUCUGGGAAACUGCCUGAUGGAGGGGGAUAACUACUGGAAACGGUAGCUAAUACCGCAUACCAUCGGAUGUGCCCAGAUGGGAUUAGCUUGUGGGUGGGUUAACGGCUCACCGUGGCCACGAGCCCUAGCUGGGCUGGGAGGAUGACCAGCAACACUGGAACUGAGACACGGUCCAGACUCCUACGGGAGGCAGCAGUGGGGAAUAUUGCACAAUGGGCGCAAGCCUGAUGCAGCCAUGCCGCGUGUGUGAAGAAGGCCUUCGGGUUGUAAAGCACUUUCAGCGGGGAGGCGUUACCCGCAGAAGAAGCACCGGCUAACUCCGUGCCAGCAGCCGCGGUAAUAC